UAGAACUCUCAGCUCUGCCUGUGCCAUGCCUGCCUGGAUACUUCCAUGCUCCCACCUUGAUGAUAAUGGACUGAACCUCUGAACCUACUCCAAGGAGGAGAUGAGAUAAACUGAAUCAUCUUUUCUUGCUAUUAUGAAAAGUCACACCAAACAAGUCUGCUUGGAUGUUAUUAAGGAUAACAACCUCUUUAAAAUGGACCUACAAUGAAUCAUUCCUCAUAUGAGCUGAACCAAGACCACGAUGAACAUGCUGACGUUCAGUAGAAAUAUCACACAGAAAUAUCCCACAACUGUGAUAUAGAACACCACAUUGCUGUUGAUCCAGCAACUGGAUGGGGAAGAAGAGAGGAGGAAAAUAUAAUGGUGAAAAUAUGCUUGCUCCAAGUGAUGAACUGAAUCUAUAAUGUUUUGAUGAAACAAUUUUUUCCCCUCAAGUAAAAAAAUAAAAAAAAACAAAACAAAGA
rnacentral:lncRNA from 1 species